GUCAUCAGUUCAUGCCCACAAUUCUCAAUCCCUGGGCAGCUGCUCUAGAACUGAUAAACUCCAUGGCAACCAUGGAAUUUCCUUUUGAAUAGGGCAUCACUCUACAACCUGGCAGUUUUCUUGGUGCAGAGAGAUUCCCAAGGGAGUGUCAGACUCUGUCUCUGGGCAGUUCAAAGACCCAUCAUUCAUUCACCACUCUGGAGAGGGAAUACUGAGAAUUCGCUGAUUGGAAGAAUAUUUCAAAGUCAAACAAGUGAGAAAUGGUACCUCAUUCUGGUUUGAGUUUGUAUUCUUGCUAAGGACAGCAAUCGGAUGAACACCAGGCUACUGCGCGGGUGUGCCAUCUGCAUUACAAAAUCGCAUCUUGGAAAAAAUUCAAAGACACAACUUUGAUUUUUACCCCAGAAAAUUUCUGGCAUAGAACCCUAAA